UACGUAGGUGGCAAGCGUUGUCCGGAUUUAUUGGGUUUAAAGGGUGCGUAGGCGGCCCUGUAAGUCAGUGCUGAAAUAUCCCGGCUUAACCGGGAGGGUGGCAUUGAUACUGCGGGGCUAGAGUACAGAUGAGGUAGGCGGAAUUGACGGUGUAGCGGUGAAAUGCGCAGAUAUCGGGAGGAACACCUAUGGCGAAGGCAGCUCGCUGGGACGGCACUGACGCUGAGACGCGAAAGCGCGGGGAGCAAACAGG
rnacentral:rRNA from 1 species